rnacentral:pre_miRNA from 1 species
UUGUUUGAGCCAUCCUCGUUAUUACAUCGCUUGCUGUUUCAUAUACAGUAACGAUGGGUAGAGGUAGAUAGAACCC